GUGGGGAAUAUUGGACAAUGGGCGAAAGCCUGAUCCAGCCAUGCCGCGUGUGUGAAGAAGGUCUUCGGAUUGUAAAGCACUUUAAGUUGGGAGGAAGGGCAGUAAGUUAAUACCUUGCUGUUUUGACGUUACCGACAGAAUAAGCACCGGCUAACUUCGUGCCAGCAGCCGCGGUAAUACGAAGGGUGCAAGCGUUAAUCGGAAUUACUGGGCGUAAAGCGCGCGUAGGUGGUUUUGUAAGUUGGAGGUGAAAUCCCCGGGCUCAACCUGGGAAAUGCCUGCAAAACUGCAUGACUAGAGUACGGUAGAGGGUAGUGGAAUUUCCUGUGUAGCGGUGAAAUGCGUAGAUAUAGGAAGGAACACCAGUGGCGAAGGCGACUACCUGGACUGAUACUGACACUGAGGUGCGAAAGCGUGGGGAGCAAACAGGAUUAGAAACCCGAGUAGUCC
rnacentral:rRNA from 1 species